UACGAGGGGGUCAAGCGUUGCUCGGAAUUAUUGGGCGUAAAGGGUAGGUAGGUGGUCUCAUUUGUCUAGGGUGAAAGCCUUGAGCUUAAACUCAAGGAAGUGCCCCGGAAACGGUGAGACUAGAGUCUUGGAGAGGGUCGUGGAAUUCCCGGUGAGCGGUGAAAUGCGUAGAGAUCGGGAGGACACCAGCGGCGAAGGCGGCGACCUGGACAAGUACUGACACUGAGGCGCGACAGCGUGGGG
rnacentral:rRNA from 1 species